GGGACCCGUCUUGAAACACGGACCAAGGAGUCUAGCAUGUGCGCGAGUCAUUGGGACUCUAACGAAACCUAAAGGCGUAAUGAAAGUGAAGGUUCGCCACGCGCGAACCGAGGGAGGAUGGACGGUCCUUCGUGGCCGUCCCGCACUCCCUGGGCGUCUCGUUCUCAUCGCGAGAAGAGGCGCACCAAGAGCGUACACGCUGGGACCCGAAAGAUGGUGAACUAUGCCUGGUCAGGACGAAGUCAGGGGAAACCCUGAUGGAGGUCCGUAGCGAUUCUGACGUGCAAAUCGAUCGUCGGAACUGGGUAUAGGGGCGAAAGACUAAUCGAACCAUCUAGUAGCUGGUUCCCUCCGAAGUUUCCCUCAGGAUAGCUGGCGCUCGCUUCUCGCGAGUCUCAUUCGGUAAAGCGAAUGAUUAGAGGCAUUGGGGUCGAAACGGCCUCAACCUAUUCUCAAACUUUAAAUGGGUGAGAUCUCCGGCUUGCUUGAACUGUGAAGCCGCGAGAUAUCGGAUCAGAGUGCCAAGUGGGCCACUUUUGGUAAGCAGAACUGGCGCUGUGGGAUGAACCAAACGCUGAGUUAAAGCGCCUAAAUCGACGCUUAUGGGAUACCAUGAAAGGCGUUGGUAACUUAAGACAGCAGGACGGUGGCCAUGGAAGUCGGAAUCCGCUAAGGAGUGUGUAAA
rnacentral:rRNA from 1 species